AAUCAAUUCCUUAAGGGGGGACGUAGAUGUUUCAAAUGAUAAAUCUUUGUUUGCACCUUUUGUUGUCAGAAAAUGUAAGGGGAUAUUACAUGUUGCGCCAUUGUUCCCGACCACCCCGUGACUUUGUUGGGGCCGGCCCUGUCAAGAAGGCCAAUCCUCGGCACUCUCUCCGUGGUUUUAGUUCCACCUUACACCGGGGCCAUGCCUUCGUGGACCAAGUUUGCUUCUCAGAUCCCCUAUUUUAUGAACCACUUGACUAUUAGAAAUGGAGCGGAGGCCAAGGGCUCGAUAUAUCUAAAGGCCAUGAUUAACUUAUCGGCCAAAGUCCUCAUAUUAACUAGUAUUAAUUCAGAACUUGAUGGUGUUUAAAUUAGCUAAUGAACAUUACUUGCUUCUAGUUAAUGGAUAUUGUAUUCAAUCGUAUAGACAGGACAGGACAGGACAGUACAAUUUGAUCUCCAAAAUAUAUGAGUUUGCUGUAGACCUUUAACUAAUUGUGAAAUAAGUUCUUUUAGGUUGGAUUUCUUGAGAAAGAUUGCGUAUACAUACUACAUAUAUUCUGAAAGCCGUUACGUGCUGUUGAUUAUUAGCAUCGAAUUUCCAAACCUUGGAAUAGGGACAUGGUGUCACGCGCUAGAAUCUGUGAAUUUUUUUACGUUGAAAUCAGUGUUGAGUUACUAUGUUGGUUUCUCUCAAUAGAAUUCUCCUUUCGUCAAAGAAAACUGAUUAAGCUUCUAUUGUUGAUGACGAUAAGGUCAUGCUGAGGCCUAUGUAGUUUUGCAGCUUCAGUCUCUUGGAGCAACUAAAAGCAUUCGCGAAAAUCGUCCCCAAUACGUUCAUUCUUCUUGCUGCGAAAAGUUUCUUAGUUCUAAUGAUAUUGUUCAUGAAAAUCAACCUCUUUGGAGAACUGCAGUAAAACUAAAACCAAUGAUUUCCAUCCAUAAGAUUAAAGAUGGAGCUUUUCAUUCUUGUUCCAUUUGACCUUGUUCAAUAUGUUUUCUUCUAUCAUCCAGGCUCUCUGUCGUAUCACGGAAAAUUAAAGCAUAUUGACAUUUUGAGGGAUAUAACAGCCUGCCUGCAAAAUUUAGCUGCUCCUCAAGGAGAUUCAAGGAACCAUCAUGAGAUCUGGAUUAAUGAAUGGUUAGCACAGAUUAUAUUGGUUUUUGGCUAUUGUUUUAAUUUUUAAGAUUAAGUUCAAAGUCUGAGUCAAGUCCUGAUGUUGGUUCAUAAAGUAAAUUCAUGCUUGAUUCUCUGCCUAUUUAUGUUUAUGUUUUACUUCUUAGUCCGGUCUGCGGGGCAAUCUUCUUUUUUUUCUUGCUUUUUGAACAACCCCAUUUCAGUGAAGAAACGGUAACAGCUAGAAUCUGAUCAAAGCAAUUGUUUUGGUGGCUAUUGAAUUGAAGCAGUGACAUCGAGUUUCCCAGAGCCAUCUAACUUCCAAAUGGCAGUUUAUAUUGAUACUACUGCUUUGGAGAUGAAGGUAUAUGUCAUAUUUCUUCUUUAAAAUUUUGUUUACUCUCUCAGUGAUUGGGACCUGUGGAUAUUGUUGGGGUCGAACCCUGGUUCUCUCAUUAAUUGGCGCUACCAGAUUUUGCUUUUUUGGAAAAUCGUGUUUAAAUGAGAAACACGCUUUUAUAAGUUGAGCGUUGCUUCUGGAUGGCUGACAUGUUUUGCUCUCUUGGCCGUUGGAUGAUCAUGGAUCUAGAAAGAUAAGUUCUUAUUCUUUAUUUCUUAGUGGAUCUUGAGAGUCAUCACUGUAAUUUGAGAGACAAGUUCUUAUUCUUCAUUUCUAUGAACUUUUGUAAUCUUUGUUGCCAUUUUGUGUUGUUCUUAGCGCAACUGAACAUAAUCCUUUUAUUAGAUGCUCAACGGGGAAUGUAGGUGUUAGAAGCGGUCACCGAACCUUCAAGGCUACGGCCGAAA
rnacentral:lncRNA from 1 species